AACCGCCACAUCAAUUUUUUUAAUUCGUUUAAAAAAUUCUGCCCCAUCUCAUAAAUUCAAAAUCUUUCCUUAUUUACUCAUUAUAAUUUUCUCUCUUCUCUCCAUUUUUCUUUCUCUAAAAAACUGUUUUACCGCCAUGAAUAAAGACAAAGAACAGAAGAACACUUCUUCAAAAAGAGCAAGUACUGAACAGCCACCAAAAACUUGUGAACAACACACAAUAACCACUUAACAGCCCCCACAAACCACUGAUUAGCCCCAGAAACAUUUGAUCUACCCCAAAAAACACUAAUCAGCCCCCAAAAAACACUGAUCAGCCCCCACAAAACAUUGAACAACCCCUACAGACAUCUGAACUACCCCCACAAAAUACUGAUGAACAGCCCCAUAGACAUCUGAACUGCGCCUACAAAACAUUGAACAACCCCAAUUAACUUCUAAAAAUCCCCUAAAAACCACUGAAAGCCACCAGAAAACACAGAUAAGCCACUAGAAACCGCUGAAAAGCCCUCAGAAACAAGUGAAAAGCACCUAGAAACCUCUGAACCAACUUCAAAAACCUUUGAACCACCUUCAAAAAACUUCUGAACCCCCUUCAAAAACCACUAAAUUCCCUUCAAAAAACUUUGAACCACCUUCAAAAACUUCUGCACCUAACACUGCUCAAAAUGCUAGUCAGACUUCAGUAAGCUCUACACAACAAUCUCAGAGGUAAAAUGUUUAUACAAUUUUUGUUCAUUUCAUUUUAGUAAUAUGGUCAUUUAAUUAUAUUCAUUUGCUUAAAAAAAUAAACUUAAAAUGUUUAGAACAGUUCUGGCAGAUGAGUAAAACAUGUUGUAAACAAAAAAAAGUUGAAGGAAAAAAUUCCUACAUCAAGCAGAGUAAUAAGAAGCAAAAGCUCCCAAGAAACAAUUCAGAUUAAAAAGGCACAGGAAUCAACAAAGGUGGUUCAAAAAACAAAGAAGGGGGUUCAGAACAUAGGAAGUUCUGGUAAAAAGGAAGUCAAGAAGAAAACAAAAGAAGUUCAGAAAGGGGGAAACUCAUCUCAAAAGGAGGUUCAUAAAUCAGUUAAGGAAGUUAAAAGGAAACUAAAAGAAGUUCAAAAAGUGGUGAAAGGUGAAAUUAGAGAGAGAAAAAAAAGAAAGAGAAAAGAUGAUGAUGAGGAGUUGUUUGAUUUAGAUGAUGAUGAAUUUGUGAAGGAUGAUGUUGAGGAAGACAAGCUUAGUGUUAGAGUCGGACAUGUUAAGUUCAUGAAGUUUGUAAGCAACUUAAGCCCACAAUAGAAGCGAGCAAUUAAAGAAAUGAGAUUUGGGAUUUAAACUUUCAAUGUUCAUUUUCAAAUAAUAAAUGUUCAAAUUCGAGUACUGUCA